GGACCAAGGAGUCUGACAU
rnacentral:snRNA from 1 species